UACGGAGGGCGCGAGCGUUAUCCGGAAUUAUUGGGCGUAAAGAGCUCGUAGGCGGCCGGUUGCGUCUGCUGUGAAAUCCCGGGGCUUAACCCCGGGCGGUCGUGAGAAACUGGCAGGCUAGAGUGUGGGAGAGGAGAGUGGAAUUCCUGGUGUAGCGGUGAAAUGCGCAGAUAUCAGAAAGAACACCCGUGGCGAAGGCGGCUCUCUGGAACGCAACUGACGCUGAGACGCGAAAGCGUGGGGAGCAAACAGG
rnacentral:rRNA from 1 species